UUAAGUGGAACUUAAGAUGUCAAGAACACCAAUCAAUCCGGGAAGAAUGUUUGGGGCUGUUAAAAAUAUUAGGUUGGUACUUGUUGUGGAUUCUUUCGAUGGGCCGAUGAAAAUGAACAAUAUAAAGGUACACAUCAAAGGCAACGAAGACAACAAGGACUGAAGAGAUAUGGAAGACAUGGAAGACUUGAAAGACCAAGCAUUAGUAUUGAUAUCACUG
rnacentral:lncRNA from 1 species